rnacentral:rRNA from 1 species
UACGGGGGGGGCAAGCGGUUGUUCGGAAUUACUGGGCGUAAAGGGCUCGUAGGCGGCCAACUAAGUCAGACGUGAAAUCCCUCGGACUUAACCGGGGAACUGCGUCUGAUACUGGAUGGCUUGAAUCCGGGAGAGGGAUGCGGAAUUCCAGGUGUAGCGGUGAAAUGCGUAGAUAUCUGGAGGAACACCGGUGGCGAAGGCGGCAUCCUGGACCGGCAUUGACGCUGAGGAGCGAAAGCCAGGGGAGCAAAACGGGG